rnacentral:rRNA from 1 species
UGGGGAAUAUUGCGCAAUGGGGGAAACCCUGACGCAGCGACGCCGCGUGUGGGAUGAAGGUCUUCGGAUUGUAAACCACUAUCGCGAGGGACGAAGCUCUGACGGUACCUCGAAAGGAAGCACCGGCUAACUCUGUGCCAGCAGCCGCGGUAAUACAGAGGGUGCGAGCGUUGUCCGGAAUCACUGGGCGUAAAGGGCGCGUAGGCGGCCCGGUAAGUAGGGGGUGAAAUCUCAUGGCUCAACUGUGAGGCUGCCUUCUAGACUGCCAGGCUUGAGCACAGUAGAGGCGAGUGGAAUUCCCGGUGUAGCGGUGGAAUGCGUAGAGAUCGGGAAGAACACCAGUGGCGAAGGCGGUCUGCUGGGCCGUUGCUGACGCUGAGGCGCGACAGCGUGGGGAGCAAACAGGAUUAGAUACCCCAGUAGUCCCUGAGCGGGCUGGCAAGGCGCAU